rnacentral:rRNA from 1 species
CACUACACAGUAUCUAUUCAUAGUUGUAGUCGCCGUAAAUAGUACAUGAUUGCCAAUAAACGAUGGAGUUGACAUUGUCUAUACUGAUUGUGCCGGGGCAUCAUUUGGAGUAUUCCCAACAUACCAAGCAACACUUCUUGCAGUUUGCCAACUUUAUUACAUGCUAUUUACCGGUGUUCGUCGUACUGCAACCUAAUAGCGACCAAUCCUGCCUAUCUAUUCAUGGGUAACCUAAGGAGCUUGGUUUUCAGUAGGGUAUCACAUCGAGUUGAUUGGGAAACACUAAUGAUUAAGGAUGCUGCCAUGUUAAUUGGCGGAACAAUGGUAGGACUUUCAGUGCGAAUAUUAAAUAUAAUAAAUCUACUGCUGGUCAAAGAUCCUCUAGAGAUGGCAUUCAAGUAUCCUCGUCCAACAUUGCCUCCAUACAUGACACCGAUGGAGUCUCAGGUCGGUAAGUUCUACAAUAGUCCCGUAGCGCUAGGAUCGGGAGCUGCGGCUGUGCUGGGCGUUCCAAUCGCUGCAUUGGGCGAAAAACUCAAUACUUGG